GCUGGGCGGAGUGGCCUGUGCCUGUAGUCCUAGCUAUUUGGGAGACUGAGGUUGGAGGAUCACUUCAGUCCAGGAGUUCUGGGCUGUAGUGCGCUAUGCCCAUCGGGUGUUCGCACUAAGUUCGGCAUCAAUAUGGUGACCUCCCGGGAGCAGGGGACCACCAGCUUGCCUAAGAAGGGGUGAAUCAGCACAGGUCAGAAGUGGAGCAGGUCAAAACUCCCGUGCUGAUCAGUUGUGGGAUCCUGCCUGUGAAUAGCCACUGCACUCCAGCCUGGGCAACAUAGUGAAGG
ensembl:misc_RNA Metazoa_SRP Metazoan signal recognition particle RNA